UACGUAGGGUGCGAGCGUUUGUCCGGAAUUAUUUGGGGCGUAAAAGAGCUUGUAGGCGGUUUGUCGCGUCUGCCGUGAAAAUCCGGGGCUCAACCCCGGACUUGACGGUGGGUACGGGCAGACUAGAGUGUGGUAGGGGAGACUGGAAUUCCUGGUGUAGCGGUGAAAUGCGCAGAUAUCAGGAGGAACACCGAUGGCGAAGGCGGCAUCCUGGACCAACACUGACACUGAUGAGCGAAAGCCAGGGGAGCAAACGGG
rnacentral:rRNA from 1 species